rnacentral:rRNA from 1 species
CUACGGGAGGCAGCAGUGAGGAAUAUUGGUCAAUGGGCGGAAGCCUGAACCAGCCAUGCCGCGUGCAGGAAGACGGCCCUAAGGGUUGUAAACUGCUUUUAUACGGGGGUAAUUUUCGGUUAGCGAACCGAAUUGAAAGUACUGUAAGAAUAAGCGUCGGCUAACUACGUGCCAGCAGCCGCGGUAAUACGUAGGACGCGAGCGUUAUCCGGAUUUAUUGGGUUUAAAGGGUGCGUAGGCGGACAAAUAAGUCAGCGGUGAAAGACUGUCGCUCAACGAUAGCAUUGCCGUUGAUACUGUAUGUCUUGAGUACAGUUGAGGUAGGCGGAAUGUGUAGUGUAGCGGUGAAAUGCUUAGAUAUUACACAGAACACCGAUUGCGGAGGCAGCUUACUAAGCUGUAACUGACGCUGAUGCACGAAAGCGUGGGGAUCAAACAGGAUUAGAUACCCCAGUAGUC